rnacentral:rRNA from 1 species
UACGUAGGGGGCGAGCGUUGUCCGGAUUUAUUGGGCGUAAAGAGCUCGUAGGCGGCUGUUCGAGUCGGGUGUGAAAGCCUGAGGCUUAACCUUGGGUCUGCAUUCGAUACUGGGUGGCUUGAGUCUGGUAGGGGGAUCUGGAAUUCCUGGUGUAGCGGUGGAAUGCGCAGAUAUCAGGAAGAACACCGGUGGCGAAGGCGGGAUCCUGGGCCGGUACUGACGCUGAGGAGCGAAAGCGUGGGGAGCAAACAGG